rnacentral:rRNA from 1 species
UACGUAGGUGGCGAGCGUUGUCCGGAUUUAUUGGGCGUAAAGCGCGCGCAGGCGGUGCGGUAAGUCCGUCGUGAAAUCUCCCGGCUCAACUGGGAGGGUGCGGUGGAGACUGCCGGACUGGAGGCACUCAGAGGCCGGUGGAAUUCCCGGUGUAGUGGUGAAAUGCGUAGAGAUCGGGUGGAACACCAGGGGCGAAGGCGACUCUUUGGUCUGUAACUGACGCUGAGGCGCGAAAGCGUGGGGAGCAAACAGG